AAUCGCCUUCAGCCCCUUCUCUGCCGUCCGCCUCGUCCUCUUCUCCUGCGCCGCCACCCCACCCCCUCUAUCCAGCGGUGUCGCCUCUCCUUCCCGGUACGUGAGCCGCCACCUCGCCGCCGCCCCUCCUCCUCCUCCUAUCUUCCGCCGUCUCGCCGCUGCAGUCGUCCCCGUGAGCAAGCUAUCUAGGCUAGGGUUCAUCGGAAAGAAAGGAAAAAAUCCCCAUUCCCUCCGCCGUCUCCUAUGCCCCGCUGCCCGCCUACUCUUCCUCUCUGCAGCAUCGUGUUUAUCCUCGACGCAGAAGGAUAGCGUGGACUGAAGAGACGCCCUGCCGCCGUGCUCCUUUUUGUAGGGACUGGGACGGGGAUGGGGGGCCCGGGGGCGGCAAGUUCCGUUGGAUGGUGGCGGUCGUCGCCUCGGAGGGCGCAAGGGGAGGCGUGCUGCUCGCGUCACUCGCGGAGCUCUGCGAGGCGCUCUCGUUCUGCACGGAGGACGCCGGGGGCUACUUCCCCGUCGAGUCUGCCGCGUCGUGUGGCUGGCCGGCGCCGAGGUCGCCAGCCCCGACGAGAUGCUGCUCGCCGUGCGCGCCAUCACCUGCAGGUGGUUGGAUAUUAGUUAUGAAGGUUGUCCCUGGAUUUUUGCUCUAUCGAGGACUGCAUGAGCUUGGUCAAUAUGCAUUCUCUGGAAAUUCUAUGGGAGCCAGCCGUAAAGAAGGAAUUCCUACUGUAUCCUGUGGCAUUCUUAGUCAGAAUUUGUUAUUGCCAUCGGAAGGUGUACUACUUGACCAUGUAGGAUGCAAGGUGUCACGAUGAUUUGAUGAGGUAAGGUAAUCGUUGAGUCAUGUUGUCAAAUGCUAAUGGAUGGAAUUUCUAAUGUAUGGCUGGAACAACAAGUCGGUGAUGAUAUCGCGACGUCUUAUUUGAGAACUGUAGUCAUGGUUUACCACGCUGGACCUUGUGAAGAUUAUGCCUGUUCUUUGUUUAAGACUAAUUGUACACAUUCAUGUUGCAAAAAUUUCUCCGGUUUCUGUUUUCAAGGGUAUAGUAAUGCAGAAAUGGCUGAAUUUUACAAACUGUAGUACUUCUUGUGAGCAAGCAUUCAGUUCAAAAGCUGCCUAACAUGCUGGUAACUUGCUAAAUUAGGCAUAUACUAUUAUAAUUUUAGUUUCAUCUGAGAACUUCUCUUUAAGACAAUGGCAGUGAACAUUUGUUUCCGACAAUGACAGUGGAUAUCGUAUAUUUUGCUCUGUAAAAAUGAACUAUUGUGGUGUUGUUCACCUAUCAAUGUGCCAUGUUUUCUAUCUAAGAAUAUGCCACAUUUGUUAAAUAAACCAGAUCAUUAAAGUUAUGGACAACUAAAUACUUUUUAUAGAACUGAAAUAAUAUAUAGGCAACCAAACAACCUUCCCUUUCAAAAAAAGCCAAGCAAACAUCUGGGUAACUUCCUGGCGCGGCGGAGCGCCCUUGCCCACUAGUACAUAUUAUGAACCCUCAACUCAUACAAUUUCGAGAAAACAUGAACUUGAUAUAUAAUGCAUUGACAUUCUUCAAAGUAUGGUAUAUUUAUUUGGAAAGAAUGAUAUUUUCUCAAGGAAGAAACGGCCUUAAAUCCCUUAUGAUAAGCAUGCGGUUGAUCUGGGUGCAACUCAUGUGCACCGGCAUAAUUGGGUGUAGCAUGUUUUGUUAGAUCCAUUCUUAAGAAAAUGCAUUAUUCUUGAAAGGCGGCACGCUCACUGCAGCUUGACCAUGUCAUCCCUGCCAAUGCCGAUUAGCUCAGCCUUGGUGGCGGUGGGCUCCUGGACCACCUCAAGCAGGCGCCUGCUGCGGCGGCCGACAUGUGAGGGAGGACAUGUGUAUUUGAGAGAGAGUGAUGGAAACGAGGGGGCUGGACUAAGAGGAAGGAGUGGAAUCACAUGAUGUGCAUUGCAUUUCUGUGUGUGUGCAAUCCAGUUAUAUACUGAUAAGGCUUUAUACAAUAAUAAGCUCCCUAUCUGUUGAACAUUACAAUUAGUACAGAGGCACAAGUCAUUUCUGACAAUUGAAGAUCAAACAAACAAUACUGCAGAAUUAUGCCAAUAUAAGUUUUUGAUGUACAUUGAACUUGUCAGUUUUACUGUCGCCUUUCUUUUUGGAGACAUGGCUAACUAUUUUCUCCACUAUUUGGCAUCUUCCCAUGUUCGUCUUGACAGUUUGGUUUUUUAUGAUCUUGUUUUCUAUUUGCAGGGGCAAAUUAUAUUUCAGUGAUACAAAUGGUUGAUGUUAGUUUUGGUAUAUGUGGUCAAGAAGGUUGUCAAGUAGUGAUGGCCUCAGAUUUGUUAUGGGGCAGUUUUUUUUAAUAGAUCGCUUCUUGUGCACAAGCACUGGAACCAUCGGUCUAUGACAUACAUGAUUCUCUAUAACUUCUACCAUAAUGCUUUCUUUGUGUUAAUGCUCUUCUGGUAUGUAUUCCUCCUCUGUGUGUUUCUCAUAUGAUGUAAGCUAAGUAUAUCUGUGUUACCUUUGUUACUUGUCACCUACAAUUUGACUAUCCAAAUGUAUGAAUAUACGGAAGCAUCAUCCCACACUCCCUUUUGGCCUUUUUGGACCUCUUGUAAUGUACGCUGGUCUAAUUAAGUUCUUAAUGAAUUGAUUUAGGCACACUACAUAUUAUGUAACUCUUGUGCUGAUAGAUUAGAGUACUGCUUUCUAUUCCAUUAUCUGCACAUCAGUUCCCACAGUAGUGGUUGAUAUUCUAAAGGACUUACUCAUAAUAUUCAUAAUACCCUUCUUUAUUGUCUGAGACUAUUGAGGCAAAGCUUCAAAAUGAGGGCUACAACAUGACACUCUUCUGAAACAUAAUGGUAGAUACCUCGUAACAAAGCCUUGUCCUUUUAUGUGUACAUUUCUUCACAUAUAAUAUCAGUACGAUGGACAUUUGGAGUAUGGGAUUCUUGAUACGUCACCAUUUGACAAAAAGAAUUAGAAUAUGUGAUAUCGGUAAUGUAAGCCUUUUAAUAUUUAGCACUUACAUAUUCGUACGUGUUUUCUCACUAAUAUUUGAAUGCAUGUACCUUUGCGUUUUGCAGGUUCACCUGAUUAUUUGAGUUAACCUGAUUAUUGUCGCAAGCUGUGUCAGAUGUUCUACGAGAUGGUCCGGUGGUCCUGUUUAGUUCUGUUUCAUGUAGCAGUCUUCUUUGUUAGUAAUGUUCCAUAUUUCUGUUUACAUGUACGUUCAUUAAUUAUCCCGUUUGAACCCCCUUAAUUAGUAAGGUGAGCUCACAAGCUUGGGUCCUAAACCACAAGAACUCGAGAAAGUCAUCAUACAUUCCUUCUGCAGGACAAUAGCAACCUCGGAUACAAGUACCUGCGAUGGUUUCUAUGUUCUUAGGAGACAUGCUGAAUACUGUCUUCCUCCGACGGUUAGCAUUGAAAGCACUUUUUGACUCCACUUGAUGUCUACAAAAUUUCUGGCUUAUUGAAUGGUAUGGUUACUUGCAAGACAUGUCGCAGAAUCCACAUAGAACCGGGUGGCAUUUUCCUCACAUUUCAUGGUGAUUUUAAUUUGAGCAUUCAGCUUGAAUACCCUUUAAACUUUCCGUCGUUGUGCUCUUAUUGUUUUGGUGUAGCACUUCAUGUCACAAUUGAAUGUUGAAUUCUUACCACUGUAGAAACUUCAACAUAUACUUAUUCAUUAGAUAAUGAGUAUGUCUGAGCUCUCUUUGUCUUUCUGGUUGAAUGUUGAAUUCUUACCACUGCAGAAACUUGCAACAUAUACCGAUUCAUUAGAUAAUGAGUAUGUGUGAACUCUCUAUCUUUCUUGUUCCACCUCAUGCCUUCCAGUGUUUUGUGUUUCAGAUGCCCUAAUCUCCUUGUAUUUAAGCGUCAUUUAUUUAGCUCUUCCGAAAUUGGUCGUGAAAGUAAGUGGAAUGGGCGCUUUCAACCUGGCACCGCCCAGAUUCCUCUCAAGAGGCACCACCAGGUGGCGCCCCAACCCCUAGAGGUAAUGAGCUACGUACCUGAAGCUCCCUCCACCUCCUUGGGAUAAAGCCAUUCAGCAAGUGCGCAGAGGCAGACUUAUUACCCGCUCUUGACAUGCCACCACUUCAGUUAUGAUGCGAUAUAUGUAAACAUCGUGCUCUUCCACGUAAAUCUAUUCUGGCCCCCACUCAGAUUCUCUCAUGUUGUUCAUCUUUUCACACCACAUAAAGAUUUCAUGUUUAAUCGUGUAUUUGUAUCUCGGUUUCUGGUUCUAUGUGAACAUAACACAAAAUCAGUAACUAUUGUUCUGCAAAAAGUAGGCGCCAACAUGAUCCAGGAAGCUAGUUCUCUGCGUCAAGUCCUUGACAAGGUGGAGGCCCUCAAGUCCGAGCUGAAGUGCAUGCAUUGCAUCCUCGCAGAUACCAAAGCAAGGAUGUCGAGGGGCUAGAUACUGAACCAUCUUCAAAAUAUAUAAAUGGGAAUGUAUCUUCUUGCGUCUUGCCCUUAAUUUGAUGUUUCAUCUGAAGAAUAGCUGAACCCUGUCUUGUAUCUGACAAACACAUUGAUUAAACAUUAUACCUUCCCA